rnacentral:lncRNA from 1 species
CCUUCAAUCAUUAUAUAUCAUUAAGUUUUUGUUACAACGAGGUUCACAACAAACAUCAAUACAAAAUAAGCUAUCUGAAAACAGAAAUAUUUCUAAUUGAUUACAACAAUCAAAUUGAUGUCGUCUCGACCGAACAUCAUUUCCCUAACAUCCUUAUCAGUCUUCAUUCGCACCCAACCAAAGAUACUGUCAAGUCUCUCAAUACUUCUAAUUUUUUCCCAAUUACAACAAUCAAAUUGAUGUCGUCUCGACCGAACAUCAUUUCCCUAACAUCCUUAUCAGUCUUCAUUCGCACCCAACCAAAGAUACUGUCAAGUCUCUCAAUACUUCUAAUUUUUUCCCCUUCU